AUAUUCUGUGAAAAUAAAUAGUUAUCUUGAUAUAAAUUUAAAACAAAUUCCAGUGAUGUGAUUAUAUUGUCAAAGAAUAUCAAAACGCUGACAGACGCUAUUAAAACGAAUUCAUUCGCAUUGUGUUUAACGAUAUUUUUGGGAUUUGUUAUCAUUAGCUUUGGUAUUGUUAAUCCAGUCAAAACUCUUAAUGAUUUAAAAUCAUCAAACUUAUCAAAGCCAAUUGAAUCGGCUGAGGACAAGCUGAUAAGAAUAGUAACGGCCACUAACGCUUCUAGAAACUAUAUUCUUGGUGUGUUCUCAUUGUUUUUACUUCUUAUAAUCUUAAGGCUAUCCGAUUAUGUUCAGUUUUCAGCCAAGCUAUAUGAAUUUUCGAAUUUAAUGGCAAACUAUGAAUUGAUCGAUAUAACAUUAUCGAAUGAACGUGAGCUAAAACCAGAAGAGUCUAGUUUUAUAAUAGGAGAAUUCCUUGAUGACGAAGAAACUAUUCAUUGGCCAUCAAUUAUCGAUUUUAAUAAAGAAGAACAUAAUAUUAUGCGACAAUUCUUCAAAAUAACGCCGAAGAAAAAUCCAAGUAAAACAAGUCGUAAAGAAAAACAGACGAAGGAGACAAAAAGUCCAUCUAAUUCGGUAGAAAACCGCCCGGAGAUUAAAAUUUCAAAGGCUCAGUAUUCAAAAGAAGUAACUAAAAAUGAUUAACGUAUUCAAUACAUUCGUAGGAAUUAUAUUAUACGUGGAACUAGUAUUCAUAGUUUUUCUUUUAAAACCUAUAAAGGAACCAUAUUUUGUAAGAGAUUGUUGGUGCAAAGUACAGGAAAAUACUAAUUUUCCGUCGAAUAUUAUCUUACUCCUUACAAUGACCUUAAUAGCAAAUACGCUAUUAGAAAUAGCUUGGGAGGAAAGUUAAUACGGAUAUCUCUUGAAUAGUAUUAAUAACUCUGAAUUAGUUUGGAAUUUUUACUUAACAAAAAUGUCAAUUAACUUUACAUGUUCUUUUAUUGCGUUUUAUAUGUUAAUAGUAAUAGAACGAGUUACACAAUUUCUAAUUAUUGUAGCUCGCUUGUUAGAUUUUGAACUAAUGUGUAGAUAUGCAAUUUUAUCUAAAGAUGAUAUUUCGCAAAAAUCUUACAAACCAACAUCGACGUUUAGAACGACUCAGCCACAAAGAACAGAUAUUAAAAUAUGACUUUAUAUAUUUAAUUAUACUUCAAUAAAAAAAGAA